ensembl:lncRNA
CAAGAAGCUACUGGAGCUGCUCUUUCUCUGUCAUUCUGCAUCUCCAGGUGUCAAGCCUCCACCUAUUGGCCAGUUCAAAGUUGAUUGGCAUGUGUCUAUUGGCUGGUCUAGGCACAGUGGGCCAAUCACUCUCCGGGGAUCACUACAAAUGAGCAGCUCCCUGGCCAGCUGGUGGCUGCUGGCUUCUGCUUUAUGACAAACAUCAAACAUUUGUGAAAAGGCUUCUUUGUAUUGUGUGUGGUGGGAGACUGGACAGAUGCGGAUGCGGUACCUUUUAAACACAGUUUGGCGAGUUGGCAAUGAGCGAUACAGCGGCUAUAUCGAUCACGUGACUUUUUCUUAAAGCGACGCACGCACCGAUACAGGCUUCGCUCUGUGAGCUUGAUACAUGCGUCGGUGCGUCAGUGUUGCUGGACCCAUCACUAGUUCUGCGGUUGAUGCCACUUUUGUAUGUUUUCACUGACCUUUUGUCGAGUAGCCAGGUAGGCCUUUUGUUUUGCAUUUUUGUUUUAGUUAGGCCCUGGAAGCUAUCGACCUUUUUUUGUUUUAUCAAUUUCUUUGAUUUGGCUCAACCGCCCAGUCCUCCUCCCCCACCUUUUUUCUUUUGUUAAGUUUGACUAUCACGGCAAGCAACCAAUAAAUCCUGCCUGAUUCUUAACUGUCCUGUUGUCCCCCUCCUUCAUUGAUUGUGGUUGUCCGGUGUUGCUGUCUCCUUCCUACCUUUGCCUCCACCAUGGUGGGGGGGACGUAACAGUAUUGAUAUACAGGAUGAUUUAUUUUUCA